rnacentral:lncRNA from 1 species
GGACUGGAAGGAAGGAGCCAGCAGACAGGGAGGAGAGGAGGGGAAGUGGGUAGUGAAGGGGAGAGAGAAUAGCCAGGGGUGGUGGGCAGAAGGAGAGGAAAUGGAACCCUAGAGGCCUGGGCAGGAGGCCUCUUGCUGUUGAGCUGCGGCCGGCUGUAUUUUGAGACCUUAACCUUCACCUUCUCAGCUGUGUUGGAUGCGGCCUCCAGAGGCCCAGGAGAGAACAGCUCAACUCCAAAUAGGCGCAUUUCCAUCGCCUCCAUCGCCGCUGUAGCUGGUGGCUGUCAGAUUGGACAGCACGGUAGAGGCGGGUCAGGAAAUGCAAGGAGAGCACUUUUGGAAGCGUCUGGAUCCUGGGCCCUCGGGGAGGGCAGGGCCUGGGUCCUGAUGUGAGGAGCCUGGAGCCUGUCCGUGGCCGAGAGGGCCUCCUUCCUCCUUCCUGGCCGACACGUCACCUGCUCCGUCCAGUCCACGAGAAGCAGCUGUGGCCCAAGCCCAUGACCUGCCUUUCUUCCCCAGCGUCACCAUCUGUGGCAGCCUGGGAUACGCAUGAGCUCCUCAGGAGGGCGGAGCUCCGUGGAACACACAUCUGGAUGACAGGAGGGAGCCAGGAGCUGUGAGAAGACGGGGGAGCUGCCGCCGCAAGAAUGCAAGACCCACGGGCUCUACGAUGCGGGGGAGCAGCGGGCAUCUGAGGAAGGGGCGUCAGGGGCACAUGGCCAGCCCUCUUCACCCCACAGUCUGCCCCAGGCCAGCCCCACUAGGAGUGACCCAUUUUCUCCUAGCAGGAUUCCUUGCAUGGGGUGGCCUGGACCCAAAACACCCGCUCUGAGGAUUCCCUGUUAACCACAGAGAAGGUUGACUCAAGUUUCUUUAUUUGGCCAUGAAACUGUGGGGCAUCUCACGGUGCUUCUUGGGUCCACUGGAGAGCCCUGGAAGCUCAGAAGAGGCAAGAGGGGCCUACUUCUCCCUUGUUUGGGCUUUGUUUGCUAAAUACCAAUAUUAGAUUAGGCAACUCUGCAAACAAAACCAAGGCCUGGCCAGCUGCCCAGGGUGUUUAAAGUCCAAGACAUGAAGGCAGGACGUGUGCCCGUGGACUUGCACACGCAAGCAGGCCGAGGGGAGAGCAGCCCGGCAGAGACCUUGGUGGUCCAGGGCUGAGCAAAGGCUUCCCCCACCGGUCCAUCCCAGUGCGCUCAGCACAGGAGUUAGCGGCCACACACUUCAACCAUUGUCUUAUUUUAGAAAAUGACAUCUGCUGGGCGCGGUGACUCACGCCUGUAAUCCCAGCAUUUUGAGAGGGCAAGGUCAGGAGUGAUCACUUUGGGUGGACCACGAGGUCAGGAGUUCAAGAUCAGCCUGGCCAACAUGGUGAAACUCCGUCUCUACUCAAAAUACAAAAAUUAGCCAGGCGUGGUGGCUCACACUUAUAAUCCCAGCUACCUGGGAGGCUGAGGCAGGAGAAUGGCUUGAACCUGGGAGGCGGAGGUUGUAGUGAGCCGAGACUGCUCCACUGGACUGCAGCCUGGGUGACAGAGCGAGACUCCGUCUCAAAAAAAAAAAAAAAGAAGAUGACAUCCAUGAUGUUAAUAAAAGCGGAGGCUUGUCAAGUGAAGCGGUGGGAGUGGAGAAGGAGCAAAGAAAUCUGUUAACUGGUUGGGAUCGGUGAGUUGUAAGCAGCCGCAUAAAGAACAUUUCUGUUUUCUUGGAUUACAACAUGAUUUCCAUUGUAUAGAAAUACCGUAUUUAUUCCGCCAGUCCCCCACCCAUAGUCACUUAAGUUGUUUCCAGCCUUCCCAAUCUUCUUGCUGUUACAAGGCUGCCACGAAUCACCUUGUGUAUACUUGAUUUUUCUGAUAAGUUAAAAAGUCCUAGAGGAGAAAUUGCCCAAUCCUUUGUGCACCUGUAAUUUUGAUAAAUAUUGCUAAGUUGCCUUCCA